CAAGUAGGCCAGGCGAUCGCGGGCUGGCAGGGCCAGCCCGAGGAAAGUCCGAGCUCCACAGAGCACGGUGCUGGGUAACGCCCAGGCGGGGUGACCCGACGGAAAGUGCCACAGAAAAGAGACCGCCGGGGGCGCAGAGCGCCCUCGGUAAGGGUGAAAGGGUGGUGUAAGAGACCACCGGCAGCCGUGGUGACACGGCUGGCCAGGCAAACCCCACCGGGAGCAAGGCCAAGCAGGAGGCUCAGCGCCCGGCGCGCUGACAGGGCUGCUCGUCCUGCGUCCUCCGGGUAGGCCGCUAGAGGCGAUGGGCAACCAUCGCCCCAGAGAGAUGAUCGCCACCCCUCGCCCCGGGUGAGGGGGACAGAACUCGGCUUAUCGGCCUACUUGGGCC
rnacentral:RNase_P_RNA from 1 species